AUUCGCUGAGAGGUGGUGCAUGGCCGUCGUCAGUUCGUACUGUGAAGCAUCCUGUUAAGUCAGGCAACGAGCGAGACCCCACGCCCACAGUUGCCAGCGAUCCCUCCGGGAGGCGGGUACUCUGUGGGGACCGCCGCUGCUAAAGCGGAGGAAGGAAUGGGCAACGGUAGGUCAGUAUGCCCCGAAUCCCCCGGGCUACACGCGGGCUACAAUGGUCGGCACAAUGGGUACCGACCCCGAGAGGGGUAGGCAAUCUCCUAAACCCAUCCGUAGUUCGGAUUGUGGGCUGCAACUCGCCCACAUGAAGCUGGAAUCUGUAGUAAUCGUGUCUCAAAUGGCACGGUGAAUAUGUCCCUGCUCCUU
rnacentral:rRNA from 1 species